UACGUAGGCAGCGAGCGUUGUUCGGAAUUACUGGGCGUAAAGAGUGUGUAGGCGGUGUUCCAAGUCUGGUGUGAAAUCUCCCGGCUCAACUGGGAGGGUGCGCCGGAAACUGGGAUGCUAGAGUGUGGGAGAGGUAAGCGGAAUUCCUGGUGUAGCGGUGAAAUGCGUAGAUAUCAGGAGGAACACCUGUGGUGUAGACAGCUUACUGGACCACGACUGACGCUGAGACACGAAAGCGUGGGUAGCAAACAGG
rnacentral:rRNA from 1 species